AGAAGGACAGCAAACAACCCUACGCCGUAAUGUUAUGGCUUCCAAGCCGGAAAAGACUGGAAUACGAAUUGCGCAGGGAAAGAAGAAAAGGAGGGGUGGAACAGUGGCGGUGAGUAGGAUGAUGUUACUCUUUUUUCUAAAGCCGGAACCAGCCUGGUUCCUUUUUGUUGUUUUUUUCAGCCUGGAGUCAGAUGCCAGCAGCCCCACCUCGGCACUCUCUCCCCUGUGAAAGCCACUCCAUACCACACCCCGCACGGCCCGGACAAAAGAGACGGGAAGGCCAAGGAAGCCGCUUUUCGCCGAUCCUCCUCCGCCGAGCUCCAGAUCGGUUCAUGGGCUCCUCCGCUAGAUUGUCCGGGAGGAAGAGAUCCGUGCAUGAGAUCCUCGGAGGAGGAAUCCUUUGUGUGACAGUUGCGGACGUGGUGCUGUGGAGGAGAAGAGAUGCAUCGAUCGGGAUAGUGCUUGGAAUGCUGGCUGCUUGGUUGAUCUUUGAAAGAUCUGGUUAUACUCUGCUGUCCUUUGUUUCUAACGUUCUGCUGCUUUUGAUCUCCAUCCUUUUUACAUGGGCAAAGGCAGCUGCAAUUCUUAACAGGCUCCCUCCACCCAUACCAGAGAUGCACCUCACAGAAGAAGUCAUGAAUGAAGCAGCAGUACGUAUGCGCUCUCAUGUGAAUAUGGCACUCUUGGCAUUUCAAGAUAUUGCACUUGGAAAGGACUCGAAGCUUUUCUAUAGAGUAGCCAUAAGUUUAUGGCUGAUCUCAAUCAUUGGUGGCUUGUCUGAUUUUCUUACUUUGGUUUACACAAGCCUUGUUAUCAUCUUAACCAUCCCCGUGCUGUAUGAGAGGUAUGAAGAUUUUAUUGACAGAUACAUGAAAUUGGCCUGUAUGGAGGUGCAAAUGUAUAAGAGAACAUAUGCCGAGUAUUUUCAGAAGGUUAAGUAUUGGAUUGUGGAUAAAAAGAAACUAAGCUGAUGGUGUCUGCAAUUUUUGUGAUUGAGACCAAGCAAGAAUUCUCUCCCCCGUUUUGCUUUUGUUCUAUGUCAGAGGGUUCUUUUUUCUUGGGUUGGACUUUGGAGAGCAUGUUCAAGUACGUACUAUGAUCCUAGGAAAGAAGGAUGAGGUAGAGAAAUGUGGUUUGCAAUAAUACGUACCUUCAACUUCUCUGUUAACACAAGUUGCACUAAAGAACUGGUAUCCGUUCAAGUAUAAAAUGGUUACAGAGUAAUGUUUGUUAUUCUCCAAAUCAUCGUAGUCUACUUUGUUUUACUGAAAUCCUUCGGUUCAA